rnacentral:rRNA from 1 species
AUGUGGAUGAUAUCUGCUAAUAGGAAAUUUUCUGUGAAGUCUCUUUACCUCCACCUUAUCAAAAUAGAUGUGAGUUUCCCACAAAAAUUCUUGUGGAAAACAGAAGUGCCAGCGAAAAUUAAAUUUUUACUAUGGCUAUUAAAUAAAAAAAGUAUCCUAACCAGAGAUAAUCUGUUAAAGAGAGGAUGGAAAGGGGACAAGCAAUAUGUUCUAUGUGGAAAAGAGGAGAGCAUUGAUCACCUUUUCUUCUCCUGUUUGGUUGCUAUGCUCUUCUGGAGUCUGGUGGGGUGUGCUUUUGAUUUAAAACAGAUCCUGAGGGAUUUAAAUGAUUGCUUUGGGGACUAG